rnacentral:rRNA from 1 species
CCUACGGGUGGCAGCAGUAGGGAAUUUUCGGCAAUGGGGGCAACCCUGACCGAGCAACGCAGCGUGAACGAAGAAGUCCCUCGUAAUGUAAAGUUUUUUUUACAGGGAAGUAAGAGAAAUUUGACGGUACCUGAUGAAUAAGCUCUGGCUAACUCCGUGCCAGCAGCCGCGGUAAUACGUCGGGGGCGAGCGUUAUCCGGGAUUAUUGGCCGUAAGGGUUGCGUUAAAGGCAUAGUAAGUCUUUUGGAAAAAUGCUGGGUUCAACCCAGUAGGGCAAAAGAUACUGGAAAACUAGAGUAUGACAGAGGCAAGUGGAACUACAUGUGUAGCGGUAAAAUGCGUAAAUAUAUGUAAGAACACCAGUGGCGAAGGCGGCUUGCUGGGUCGAUACUGACAUUGAGGCACGAAGGCGUGGGGAGCAAACAGGAUUAGAUACCCCUGUAGUC